UGGAUCACGUUGAAGAGUCCUUGUGC
rnacentral:piRNA from 1 species